AUACCAGCUCGCUUCCAACAACAAAUAUAAUUAACCUAAGCUGUGAUAGGUCAAAGUUUUUUUUAGUUUUCUUUUUUUUAAAAAAAGAAAAAAACAGAUCAACAAGAGAGAAGACUUGCAAAAAAGUAGAAUUACUGAAAGAAACUCAACAAAGAAUCAAACUGAAGUAAUUAAAAAUAAUAGUCUAUGAUGACCAUCUCGGUAUCACACAUUCAGGUAAUAUGAUUAACCUAUAACAAUAUUAGAAAAAAAAAAGUUAAUAGAUGGUCGCCACGUGUUCAACUUUAUCUACCCUUAGGAAAGGAUAGAAAGCGGGAGAGAGAGAGGUUAAAAGGCUUUUAAAAAAAAGAAAAGGAAAGACAGAAAUAAAAGAAAGGUUGAGACAAGAGAGGGACAAGGAAAUAGAAGGAGAAGUUUGUAAUAUAACCAUUUUAAUUUAAUAUUUUAAGAGAUUUCAGAAUAUGAUUUAUAUUAUUUUCUAAUACACCCUCUCAAGUGUUCUUUGGACUUUAAACUUGAACAGACCCACAUUACCCUGUGUUUAAUUUUUAUCAAAUAAAUAGGGAUGGUGAGAUUCGAACUCGUGAUCGUUUGGUCAUUAAAGCUCUGAUACUAUGUCAAAAAAUUAUCUCCACCUAAUAGCUUAAACUGUUUGGUGAGGUCCCAUGAUAUGAUUUAUAUUAUUCUCUAAUAAGGUUGAGGGAGGCAAAAAUAGAAGAAGACAUUGAAAGAUCGGAGGAGAGUAAAGAAAACAAUAUAAAUAUGUGAUGCUCGUUUAUCUAUUUGAUUGGGAUUUUUUUGUGUCUCUUUUAUUUGGAAUUCUUUGGACAUUUUAAUAAUAUAAUAACAAAAAAAUAUUAAAAUUAUUUUUAUUUUUUCAUGCUCUUAUAAGUAAUGUAGAAGAUGAGGACCUGAAAUCACGACAGCAAAUAAGAAGAGAAAUAACGUGUUUGUUUUUUUUAAAAAAAGAUAUCUUUAAAAAAAUUAAAUUUUAUUUUUACUUGAAAUUAAUUUUUAAAAAGCUAGUUUGAAAAUUAAUAUGAAAAAAAAGGAUAAUAGAGUAGUUGUCCAAAUCAAAACACAUUAACAUAGGACAAAAACAGGGAGAGAGGCUAUUUGUUUUUUUAACUGUAUUGGUUUAAUAAGGUUUAUAUAGUAUUUUAUAAAUAUUUUGGAUAAAAAUUUUAAAGGGUUCUAAAUUAUCUCUGUUACCUUCCCUUAAUUUUCUAGGCAAGUAAAAGGAGCUAAACUUAUUCCCGACCAAAACGUCAAGAAUUUCAGUGGAACAAAAAAAGAGAUCAUUACUUGACCAAAAACAACUAGUCAGCACCCAAAGAAACCGAGUGAAUGAGAGAAAAUUAAGGACUCAUAGCUAGAAAACAAUCAACAGAUCCAAGAAUUUUCUGUAUGGUUUCCAAGAAAAUGAAACGAAAUGAGCAGCACAACCCUCUUUCUCCUCCAAGAAAAGAAAGAAAAAGAAAGGAAAGAAACAAAGAUAGAAAGUCAAACUUGGCUCCUCUUUUAGUGUUAAAAAAAAAAAACAAAGAAGUUCGAGGAAGUGGGCAGCCUUUUUUCUGCUGUUCAUGUGGUGUUCUGCUGUUCACGCAGACUAAGAACUCCUACCAUCGUAAAAUCAUAUAAUUAAAACACAACAAUAAAAAAGUAAUAAGCAGCUAAUUAUGUGCCAAAAUCAGAGAAACAAGGAUACAGAACGUGAGAGUGAGUCAUUGCAAGUAAAAGAGGCGCAGAGAGAAUGGGAAUAGGAAUUUCAUUACCUUAAACUUGAGAAAAUAUGUGCGAAAAGCACUGGUACUGAUUGCUCAAUGAAAUGGAGAAGGCCUUUAGCUCUGUAUGGAAUCCAGCUUCAAAAGCAACAACGCAAGGGAUAAGCAUUUUGAUGACAUACUUAAGAUACUAUGCGUAAUAAUAUAGAGACAGUGACAAAGAAAUAAAGAAAAAUAAUAUGUACUCACCUAGCAAAGAAAGAAACGAAUGAAAGGUUCAGGAUAAUCACUUGGACGCCUCCAUGGAUGAUACCAGCUCGCUUCCAACAACAAAUAUAAUUAACCUAAGCUAUGAUCGGUCAAAGUUUUUUUUAGUUUUCUUCUUUUUUAAAAAAAAAAAACAGAUCAUCAAGGGAAAAGACUUGCAAAGAAGUAGAAUCAAUGGAACGAACACAACAAAGGAUCAAACUCAAGCAAUUAAAAGUAAUUGUCUAUGAGUACCAUCUGUGUCACACACUCAAGUGAGGAGAGAAAAGAAGGAGACAGAAAGGAAAGGGACAAAGAAGGAAGAAAGUAAGGUCACGUAGGGGCCAGCCUUGUAGAAAGAAGAGAUUAUUACGUGGCAAGUGCCGAGUGCCAAGUGACA
rnacentral:lncRNA from 1 species